rnacentral:rRNA from 1 species
CCUACGGGAGGCAGCAGUGGGGAAUAUUGCACAAUGGACGAAAGUCUGAUGCAGCAACGCCGCGUGGAGGAUGACACAUUUCGGUGCGUAAACUCCUUUUAUAUAGGAAGAUAAUGACGGUACUAUAUGAAUAAGCGCCGGCUAACUCCGUGCCAGCAGCCGCGGUAAUA